UAGGGAAUCUUCCGCAAUGGACGAAAGUCUGACGGAGCAACGCCGCGUGAGCGAAGAAGGCCUUCGGGUCGUAAAGCUCUGUUGUUAGGGAAGAACAAGUAUCGGAGUAACUGCCGGUACCUUGACGGUACCUAACCAGAAAGCCACGGCUAACUACGUGCCAGCAGCCGCGGUAAUACGUAGGUGGCAAGCGUUGUCCGGAAUUAUUGGGCGUAAAGCGCGCGCAGGCGGUCCUUUAAGUCUGAUGUGAAAGCCCACGGCUCAACCGUGGAGGGUCAUUGGAAACUGGGGGACUUGAGUGCAGAAGAGGAGAGUGGAAUUCCACGUGUAGCGGUGAAAUGCGUAGAGAUGUGGAGGAACACCAGUGGCGAAGGCGACUCUCUGGUCUGUAACUGACGCUGAGGCGCGAAAGCGUGGGGAGCAAACAGGAUUAGAUACCCUGGUAGUCCACGCCGUAAACGAUGAGUGCUAAGUGUUAGAGGGUUUCCGCCC
rnacentral:rRNA from 1 species